rnacentral:lncRNA from 1 species
AUUGAGUCAUAUUGUCUAACAAUAUAGAGAUGUUGCAGCAGCUCCUCGAUAGUGUUGACUAAUUGGCAAUGAAUUUCAGAAUCCUUCAAGAAACUUCCAUGCAUAAGUACGUGAAUUUCCUCUACUUUGUUCUCAGUAUCCCAUGAACAGAAGAAACUUGUGAAACAAUAUCAUUAGCUUUUCUUUGUAUAAAAGAAAAUCAUAUUCUGCUUUGCCAUUUAUCAUCUUUAAAUAAUUUUUUCUUUAGGAAUACUGUUUCUUUUUAACCAUUAUUUUAGCUUCUCAAAGUAAAAGUUCUUGACAAAUGGAUCAUUCCGUUUUAAAUUCUUAGUUACUCGUGAAUGAAAGAGUUUCUACGCUUACUGUUUGGAAUAUUUUCUUAACUUAACUAUUGAUGCUUUUUCUUUAGGAAUGCUGUUUCUUUUUAUCCAUUGUUUUAGCUUCUCAAAGUAAAAGUUCUUGACAAAUGGAUCAUUCUGUUCUAAAUUAUUGGUUACUUAUGAAUAAAAGAGUUUCUACGCUACUGUUUGGAAAUUUUCUAAACUUAACUAUUGAUGGAACUAGGAGCAUGUUGCUUGGUUUUAGCAUUAAGAUAAGGCCUUCAUCUUAUUGGGUCUCAUCAGUAAAAAAUAUUCGCUAGCUUCGUGGUAUAAAAAUAUAAAUCUAUUUUAUGUUGGGAAGCAAGGUAUUUACAUAUCCUAGAACUUUCUUAAUUGGUUUUUCCUAUUGAUAACCACAUCAACAACUUACUCUAUAUAUACAUAGUCGAUUUUUCUCUUAAUUUGCAAUUUGGUAAAUUCAUUUUAUGUUUAGUUUGGUUGAUAGGGCAUGCUUUAAACGUCUUUGCAGAUGACGACGUGUUACGCUCUUAAGUUCUCUUGAUGUAGUAUCUUGGGUCCGUAGGUCUUUCCAAUGAAACAAGAGAUAUGGUUGAAGCUAUACCUAUGCCUAUCAAAUAAUUGUUGUUUUAGAUGGAUUGUUUAUCUAACAACAAAAGCUCCAUGAAUUUAGGAAGUUGAAAAGGAAUACCACCCCUGCUCUAACUAUCCACAUUGAAUAUUGUUGAGCAAUCAAAUUUUUCUUAAUUGCUCUUCGCAUCUCUGAUAGGAUAUACGAGAGUCAACAUGUGGCAGGAGGAUAUCUAACAAAGUGAAAAGUUUUGUUUUUAUUGAAAAGUUGUGAGACCAACAAGGCUAUAUGCGCAUUAAUGUUAGUCCUCUAUCUAUCUACAAGUAGAAGAUGAAUGUCCUAGAAAUAUGGAUAAUUGUUAGGACCGAAAAAACCAGGUGUCAUAUGGAUGCUAGCAAAGCAUAUCUUGAGCGACGAUAAAUCAUACAAUAAAAGAGAAAUAUACCAAAAGAAACAUUUAACAUGGUUCGAUCAACAUACCUACACCCACGAUGGAAAUGAGCAAUCCACUAUAUAACAGAGAGCAAGGGCGGAUUUAGGAGGGCGCAAGGAUGUUCACCCGAACACCCUUCGCCGAAAAAUUGCACUGUAUAUAUACGGCAAAAUUUAUUUUUUUACCUCUAUAUAUUAAGUUUUGAACACCCUGAAUACAAUCAAAAAAUGUAGUUUAAUGGUCAAGGGGGUCCAAAAUCUACAUAAGGUCAUGGGUUAAAUUCCUACUAGCUACAAAAACUGUUUUUUGAACCCCUUUCGUGGAGAUCCUGCCUCCGCCACAGAUAAAAAGUACAAAAUAUCGAGAGAACAUCCUAUGCCAAUGUCAACGUUGGGUGUUAUGCUUUUGCCUUAUUUGACACUAAUUAUCGUUUUAGGAAGUUUGUAGAGUAUAAUAUGUACGAACCUAUUGUUUGUAUUAUAUACAUCUAAAUAGGAACUGAUCAACUGAUGACAAGCUAAGUUUUGUUUUUCUAGCCAACAAUCUCUCUCUCUCUGAUUAAGGAGGUUUAUGUUCUGCCAUUGGCGCUUACUCUUAUGGUUUUGCCUUAUUUGGCUCUAAUGAGAUUUCUGUUUAUUGUUCUAGGAAAUUUGUUCUUUCAUCUUUGUUAUCCUUAUCUUAUUUAUACUGAAUUAAUAGAUGAGCUCAAUGCAAAUUACAGAGUCAAUAGUCAUGGAGGAAUCUGAUGCUUUGAGGUCUGUAGCAGAGAAUUGGAUCCAAAAAUAGUCUUUAUGUAUCCUUUUUUCCUUAAAUUGAUCUCCCUUCCUCAAGCCCUGCGGGGAGCAUUUCUU